rnacentral:rRNA from 1 species
AUUGAACGCUGGCGGCAGGCCUAACACAUGCAAGUCGAACGCGUGGCGGACGGGUGUGUAAUGUCUGGGAAACUGCCUGAUGGAGGGGGAUAACUACUGGAAACUGUAGCUAAUACCGUAUACCAUCGUAUGUGCCCAUAUGGGAUUCGCUUGUAGGUGGGGUAAAGGCUCACCUAGGCGACGAUCCCUAGCUGGUCUGAGAGAAUGACCAGCCACACUGGAACUGAGACACGGUCCAGACUCCUACGGGAGGCAGCAGUGGGGAAUAUUGCACAAUGGGCGCAAGCCUGAUGCAGCCAUGCCGCGUGUAUGAAGAAGGCCUUCGGGUUGUAAAGUACUUUCAGCGGGGAGGCGUUACCGGCAGAAGAAGCACCGGCUAACUCCGUGCCAGCAGCCGCGGUAAUUC